rnacentral:rRNA from 1 species
AGAGUUUGAUCCUGGCUCAGGAUGAACGCUGGCGGCGUGCCUAAUACAUGCAAGUCGAGCGAACGGACGAGAAGCUUGCUUCUCUGAUGUUAGCGGCGGACGGGUGAGUAACACGUGGAUAACCUACCUAUAAGACUGGGAUAACUUCGGGAAACCGGAGCUAAUACCGGAUAAUAUUUUGAACCGCAUGGUUCAAAAGUGAAAGACGGUCUUGCUGUCACUUAUAGAUGGAUCCGCGCUGCAUUAGCUAGUUGGUAAGGUAACGGCUUACCAAGGCAACGAUGCAUAGCCGACCUGAGAGGGUGAUCGGCCACACUGGAACUGAGACACGGUCCAGACUCCUACGGGAGGCAGCAGUAGGGAAUCUUCCGCAAUGGGCGAAAGCCUGACGGAGCAACGCCGCGUGAGUGAUGAAGGUCUUCGGAUCGUAAAACUCUGUUAUUAGGGAAGAACAUAUGUGUAAGUAACUGUGCACAUCUUGACGGUACCUAAUCAGAAAGCCACGGCUAACUACGUGCCAGCAGCCGCGGUAAUACGUAGGUGGCAAGCGUUAUCCGGAAUUAUUGGGCGUAAAGCGCGCGUAGGCGGUUUUUUAAGUCUGAUGUGAAAGCCCACGGCUCAACCGUGGAGGGUCAUUGGAAACUGGAAAACUUGAGUGCAGAAGAGGAAAGUGGAAUUCCAUGUGUAGCGGUGAAAUGCGCAGAGAUAUGGAGGAACACCAGUGGCGAAGGCGACUUUCUGGUCUGUAACUGACGCUGAUGUGCGAAAGCGUGGGGAUCAAACAGGAUUAGAUACCCUGGUAGUCCACGCCGUAAACGAUGAGUGCUAAGUGUUAGGGGGUUUCCGCCCCUUAGUGCUGCAGCUAACGCAUUAAGCACUCCGCCUGGGGAGUACGACCGCAAGGUUGAAACUCAAAGGAAUUGACGGGGACCCGCACAAGCGGUGGAGCAUGUGGUUUAAUUCGAAGCAACGCGAAGAACCUUACCAAAUCUUGACAUCCUUUGACAACUCUAGAGAUAGAGCUUUCCCCUUCGGGGGACAAAGUGACAGGUGGUGCAUGGUUGUCGUCAGCUCGUGUCGUGAGAUGUUGGGUUAAGUCCCGCAACGAGCGCAACCCUUAAGCUUAGUUGCCAUCAUUAAGUUGGGCACUCUAAGUUGACUGCCGGUGACAAACCGGAGGAAGGUGGGGAUGACGUCAAAUCAUCAUGCCCCUUAUGAUUUGGGCUACACACGUGCUACAAUGGACAAUACAAAGGGCAGCGAAACCGUGAGGUCAAGCAAAUCCCAUAAAGUUGUUCUCAGUUCGGAUUGUAGUCUGCAACUCGACUACAUGAAGCUGGAAUCGCUAGUAAUCGUAGAUCAG